rnacentral:rRNA from 1 species
UACGUAGGUGGCAAGCGUUGUCCGGAAUUAUUGGGCGUAAAGCGCGCGCAGGCGGUCCUUUAAGUCUGAUGUGAAAGCCCACGGCUCAACCGUGGAGGGUCAUUGGAAACUGGGGGACUUGAGUGCAGAAGAGGAGAGUGGAAUUCCACGUGUAGCGGUGAAAUGCGUAGAGAUGUGGAGGAACACCAGUGGCGAAGGCGACUCACUGGACACGUAUUGACGCUGAGGUGCGAAAGCGUGGGGAGCAAACAGG